AAAUAUUGAAAGAAUUCUCGUAGUUACAAUUGUAUAAUCAGUGUAUAUACAUUGUAUAACUAGUGUAUACUGUAAGUGUAUACAAAUACAUAGAUAUUAUACAUAGACGAUACACUAAAUAUACAUUUAUGGUACAUGAUAUACACAAAUUAUACAUCUCAUAUUCAAGAAGAAGAAGAAGAGAACAAUAACCACCUCCACAAAUAAACUUCACCUUUUACUUCUUAUUAGGAAAUGCACAUAAAUUCAUCCAAACGAAUCAUGAAGCCCAACCUCCAAGCAGCGCACAAGCACCAACAACCCACCAACGAUAUUAUAUAUUGUAUAAACAGUGUAUAUAAAUUGUAAAAUGGUACAUAUACACCUAUUAUACAACAUAUAUACACUAUAUAUACAUUUGUAAGGAAGCUGCAAAAGAAGUCGGAGCAGAAAAGGAAAGCAAAAGGGAAGGUCACUGGAGUCUUUAUCCAAUCGCAGCCAUGGCUGAUAGAUAUCAUUAGCCAAGUAUUUGCUAUAAUUCCUUAAAGAUCUAGAAUUGCAUGACUUUAAUAGAUGAGGAAGGAAGCAACACGGAAGAUAAUAAAAUUAUUAUUGGUUAGAGGUAGUGGUGGAGAUUGUUUAGGCAAAGAAAAACUAUUUCUAUAAAUAGCCGAUUCACAGUGGAUGAUUGUUGGUCUCAAUUUGAUUUGGGGUUGAGAUUUGAGAGUGUUUUCAGAGGGAGAUGAAGAUUUACUUAUGGAAAUAUGGUGAUUCGGUGGUAGUGAGAUCGGUGGUGGAGAUAAAUUGUAACGGUGGUGUGAGGAAGGUGGUGGAGAUAAGCUGGAUUGGUGGCGUUUAUAUCGAUGAGUGGGGGGAGAAUAACAAAC
rnacentral:lncRNA from 1 species